UAACCACUAGUGGGCGGGAUGGAGUAAGCAACCCAGCCCGUCCCUUUCUCGGAAAUCACCAGGCUUUGGAGAAACGGAACUACAGUCGGGAGUGUCCCCUUCUCUAACCUGUAACAAUGUUAUUUGUUCGGAGACUGAUGACGAGUCACUCUGAGCUGGCGUUCUGAUUGGGCAGUUGGAAAACUGCAAAAGUUGAUUAAAAGUGGAGAAGAGAACCCCCAGAACGUAUCGUUAUCCAGUCGUAAGAGUUUGCACCGUGUGGCACCACUGGGUAAACUUGGCCUUGCUCUCUGAGCGCCACCGCCCGCCUGGGUGCGUCCGCGGUUGAACUGUAUUCUAAGAGAUUUCCCAGAGGAUUCAUCUGCUGUGGAAGGUCGAGAUGGGGCUAGAACCAGAAUCAGCAAUUAGCUAGAG